CGUUGUACUAUGUCCGACAACAAUUCGUCCCGGGUUGGAUUUUAAAGUCAACGUCAACAUUUUGAAAUCCACUGGUAUCGUUAACGUAACACUAGAACUCAUCAAAAUGUGGUCCAAGACAGCCGUGGCAUCAGUGGUCGGCAAUGUUCCUGAAGGACAUCCAAUGGGCAUAACUCUGAAGAUACCAGCCAACCUUAAGUCUGGAUAUUACAAACUAAAAGCAACCGGAAGUGGGGGUCUGACCUUCACCGACGAAACCACUGUGCAGUUCAACAGUAAAAGCGUGUCUCUCUUCAUACAGACCGACAAAGCCAUGUACAAA